AGUGAACGCUGGCGGUAGGCCUAACACAUGCAAGUCGAACGGCAGCACAGUAAGAGCUUGCUCUUACGGGUGGCGAGUGGCGGACGGGUGAGGAAUACAUCGGAAUCUACUUUUUCGUGGGGGAUAACGUAGGGAAACUUACGCUAAUACCGCAUACGACCUACGGGUGAAAGCAGGGGAUCUUCGGACCUUGCGCGAUUGAAUGAGCCGAUGUCGGAUUAGCUAGUUGGCGGGGUAAAGGCCCACCAAGGCGACGAUCCGUAGCUGGUCUGAGAGGAUGAUCAGCCACACUGGAACUGAGACACGGUCCAGACUCCUACGGGAGGCAGCAGUGGGGAAUAUUGGACAAUGGGCGCAAGCCUGAUGCAGCCAUACCGCGUGGGUGAAGAAGGCCUGCGGGUUGUAAAGCCCUGUUGUUGGGAAAGAAAAGCAGCAGGUGAAUACCCCGCUGUUCUGACGGUACCCAAAGAAUAAGCACCGGCUAACUUCGUG
rnacentral:rRNA from 1 species